rnacentral:lncRNA from 1 species
UUUGAUUGGACAAAAGGGAAAUGGGUUAUUUAAGUGGCCCAAACUUCAGGAACAAGAUAUGUGUUUAUACCUAUUCUGUUGCUCCAUUUCGGCUCCAUCGGAUGAUAGAGAGGAAAGACCUCCUGGGCUCUCCAUAGCAGAAACCUGUUGGCAAGGCAAAGACCACCUGGCCCCUGGCCAAGCCCAGCAGAGAUGCUGCUUGAGAGAGACA